UACGUAGGGUGCAAGCGUUGCCCGGAUUUAUUGGGCGUAAAGAGCUCGUAGGCGGUGUGUCGCGUCGGCCGUGAAAACCUGGGGCUCAACUCUGGGCGUGCGGUCGAUACGGGCAUCACUUGAGUUCGGCAGGGGAGACUGGAAUUCCUGGUGUAGCGGUGAAAUGCGCAGAUAUCAGGAGGAACACCGGUGGCGAGGGCGGGUCUCUGGGCCGAUGACUGACGCUGAGGAGCGAAAGCAUGGGGAGCGAACAGG
rnacentral:rRNA from 1 species